CACCCUUGGCCAUCCCUGUCGCCUGACCUGUCUCACAACAUCUUGGAUAGACACUCCUUGAACAGAACCUCUCAGAGUGGAGGUCUGCUGCCCAGGAAGAAGUACACCUCCCACCAUUGGAUGCUGGAGCUGACUCUCAGGAGGUCAGUUGCUAUUAGGAACAUCAGGAAAGCAGCCCUGGCUGGGGCCUCCUCGUGUCCAGGACCUCACCACUACACACUGAGUCCUCAAGAAAGGCCAAGCUGUGGCCCAGUGAGAGGGCUCCAUGUAUUAGGCUGGCAGCCUGGGCUGGAACACCCUCCCAGGACCCCCAAGGCAGCUCCCUGCUAAGCCCGGGAGCCUCACCAUCCUCGGUUUCCACAUAGAGACGGAGUCCCAGGUCCUUGUUAUGGUUCAGCAACCAGCGGUCACUGGCUGCCGUGAUGUCCAGCACCAGCCAGCCCUCGUCCCCAGAUCGGAGCGUCUGAAGAUCCAAAAAGAACAAGUCAGACUCCCUGUGGACAUGAAAGAACAAUUAACCAAGGGCUGAGGUCGCA